rnacentral:piRNA from 1 species
CACUGAGAUGAUCUCCUUAACA